AAUACACAAAGUAGGUAGCAUUUUAUACUUAAACUGAAUAACGCUGUUACAAAAUCAACUGAAAAGUCUUACACUCAAACUAUCCAUGGAAUGAGGCUGUAUUUUACCAGUAACAAGAGGCCAUCCAUGUUAUUUCUUGUAAUGUCUAUGAUGCAGGCCUGCACUGGGGAAGGAUCAAAGUGCUCAGUAUCACCAUGCACAGACUGCACCACUGCCACCUGCAGUGCCCAGGAAUGUGCAGGCAGUCCCAGGAUGCUGCUGUGUCCACACAGCCCCAGCCAUGUACCAGUCCUCUCUAUGUAGUCAGACCACUACAGAUCAUCCAGUGACCCCAGAAUUUGUCCCCAAACCACCUCCAGUGUCAGCAGGACUUAAAAAUCAAGGCAAACUUCUCUGUGAUAUACACAGGGUAUUUUUAGGCAGGAUCAUUUUCUUUUACAAUCAAUCUGUAGGGGAUAUUUCCAUGUUCUUGCUAGUGUGGCUGUUUUUAUUUUUCCCAUACACAGAUGUCCUUGAGGUAUGCUAAAAGUCCAAACUGUGAACAGUGUUUGCCAACACAAUACAGUUCUGAUGUGUGUGUUUGUGACACAGAGAACCUCAUAACCACGUGCCCUGUGGACAGGAACACAUAGCAGGAUAAGAGUCAAAAAGCCCUGCUGCAAAACAGGGCAGAGCUGACAGUGGGCCAGGGCUUCAAAUGGCCAAUGUCCACUCCUGAGGAGAACAGCUGCUGCAGAAACUUGCUUUGCCUGUACUACAUUGAUAAGGCAGUGUUUUCCAGGAGUCAAUCAAAUAAAGUUUUUCAAGAAGACCAAAGUAGUAGGAUGUCAAUUAAAUGAGACGUGAUGAUUGCAAUGGGAUUUAUGCAGUAUUUGUUAGCCUGAGCAGCAUGAUGGCUUGUCAAUCUUCCUGAGCUGCAGAUGUUUCUGUGUGUUGCAGAUUCCCUUGGAAAGACUCCCUUCUUGUAGGUGUUGCUGUCUUCCACUGGGCAUGUCUAGUACUUACUGUUUUUUAUAGAAAGAGCCAUUACAGCUGUCUGGUCCCAGCUCCAAUCCCAGGUUUCUGCCCAGUAAUCCCCACAUCAAAGACAUACCUUGAAGUCAAACACCCAUCUGUUUCAAUGAAGCUAUUUUGGUUUUCAUAUAAAUAAGCACUGUCUAAUAGAAAUUGUAUCAACCAAAGUGGUCUAAAACCAUAAUUAAGUCCUCUGGCUAAACACGGAAAAUUACUCUGAAACACUAACUUGCAUUCUAUAAUUGACCAAGCAUUUUUUUAAUAUCCCUUUAAUAAAUUUCAGUUACUUUUCUGAGAAGUGACCAGUUCUAAGGAUAUCCAGUGCAAGCUGGUGAUCAGAAUGCAAGUGGAUGUAAAUGGUUCCAGAGCUGUACCAGCCCAUUCUUCACAGUAGGCAGUAUCUUUUGCAAAAUGCUAACUGUCCUCUGGUGUCAGUGAAUUCCACCCAUGGGAGGGCACGUUUUGGUGGUGCCAAGCAUGAGGACAAGAGGCAACAGGCAGAAUCUGAUGCACAGAAAGUUCCAUCUGCAUGUGAGGAAGAACUUCUUUCCUGUGCCGUCACUGAGCACUGGAACACACUGUCCAGAGAGCCUGUGGAGUCUCCGUCACUGGAGAUAUUCCAGAAAUGUCUGAAUGCAAUCCUGUGCCAUGUGCUCUGGGAUGCCCCUGCUUGAGCAGGGAAGUUGGAAUCAGAUGACCCACUGCAGUCCCUUUUAGCCUGUCCCAUUCUGUGAUUUACCUGACCAUGACCCAGAAGCUGGAAAAUCAGGCCCUGGAAGUCCUCAGUGUUAGCCUUAAAAGGUCAGGACUCGAGUUCCAGGCAGGAAAAAGUAGGAUGUGACAAAACAGAUAUGGCUACAUUGCACUUCCAAAAUAUGAAGUCCUCCUGUCUUCUUGAAAAUCCCUGCUUGGAGCAAAACCAGAAACUUAUCCACAGAAGAGAGCAAAAAUAUUUAAGUUCCCAUAAAACUGCAAUCCCUAGAUAGUGUAAUUUCUGAACAACUACAUGUCUGGUUUGUGCUUGGGGUUUUUUUUUUUUCCCUAACACUGUAAAAAAUUUCAACACAAAGCUGCUACUUUCAAAGCUGCAA